GCCUGGGUAGCUCAGUUGGUUAAGUAUCUGACUUCAGCUCAGGUCAUGAUCUCACAGUUGGUGAGUUUAAGCCUCACGUCAGGCU
rnacentral:tRNA from 1 species